rnacentral:rRNA from 1 species
UGGGCAACCUGCCCCUCUCUCUGGGAUAACCCCGGGAAACCGGAGCUAAUACCGGAUACUCCGGCUGGAUCGCAUGGUCCGGCCGGGAAAGGUCCGCCGGAGAAGGAUGAGCUCGCGGCCUAUCAGCUAGUUGGUGAGGUAACGGCUCACCAAGGCGACGACGGGUAGCCGGCCUGAGAGGGCGACCGGCCACACUGGGACUGAGACACGGCCCAGACUCCUACGGGAGGCA